GACCUCAUGUGUCAAUCAUAGUUAGUCAAGUGAACAUUACGUUGUAGUUGAAUGACUUGUUAAAUGGCCUCGCUAUCAACCCAUGUCGUCACCACACAAUUGUUGAAAUCUUGACAUCUCAGCUGGCGCAUCCAUAGCCUCCAGUCAGUGAUCUAGAGCUUCAGGAAGAAGGGGAAGUCUAUAGACUCUUGGUUUACACUUACACACCUGCCUCCAGAAUGCUUAGUAUUAUCCGCUGUCCGGGGAGGUCCAGGGCGAAGACAUGGCGGUUGGUACCAGCAAUCUGCUUAGUGUGUGUCAUGUA
rnacentral:misc_RNA from 1 species